rnacentral:lncRNA from 1 species
CAUAACUCAAACCUCCUUCUUCACUCCACAAGAAGAGAUCUCUAAUAAUCCUAUUUUUUUCCUUCACUCCACAAGAAGAGACCUCCAACAAUUCUAUUUUCUUUCCUUGGCAGCCUGAACUGCUUCAGACGGGUCCACCUCUCUUAAUGCCGACCCCUCAACCCCACUCCAAAAUUCCCCCAAACAUACCUCUAUAGUCCUCAAAAUAAUAAAAAGAACUUCAUUCAACAGGGCCCCA